UGCCUGAACUCUCCUUACACUUUAGGAUCCGUGGACCCUGGUUAAGAACCCUGAUACUGAUUCAUGAUCUCUGACAGCUUCUGCACGAAGGUCCCUUCCAAUUCUGACAGUCUGUGUUUGAAGGUCUAAGGACCCUUCAUAGCUCUGACCUUGCCUAAUGCAGGGGGCAAGAGCCGGUAUCAGCCGUGUCUGUGUUAAGGGAGCAGAGGUGAGAAGUGACCGUCGGCCUGGAGCUGUCGGGGAUCCAAGGACGUCACGGAGGAGGCUGUUAGGAUAUCCCUUCCUCGUUUCUGGUCGAUGUUGAGAGCAAUAUCUGAAGGCUCUCGCACUGAAGAUACUAAAGAAUCUCAGCCUUGGGAAAAACCCCAAAGGCCAUCUAGUGACUACCCACUGCCUGGCCAUCUUCACAGCCUCUGGAACAGCCUUUCUACCUCCUUGACAGUGACCCUGGAAGUCUGA